ACGAUGUCUAGGGGGUCUGAGAGGAUGGUCCCCCACACUGGUACUGAGACACGGACCAGACUCCUACGGGAGGCAGCAGUGAGGAAUAUCGGUCAUUGGGCGAAAGCCUGAACCAGCCAUGCCCGCGUGAAGGAUGACAGCGCUACGCGUUGUAAACUUCUUUUGUAGCGGGAAGACACACUUUCAACUGGUAGAAGCUGGACGGUACCGUACGAAUAAGCAUCGGCUAACUCCGGGCCCAGCAGUCGCGGUAAUACGGAGGAUGCAAGCGUUUAUCCGGAUUUAUUGGGUUUAAAGGGUACGUAGGCGGGAAAUUAAGUCAGUGGUGAAAUCCGGCAGCUCAACUGUAGAACUGUCAUUGAUACUGGUUUCCUUGAAUGUAUUUGAGGUAGGCGGAAUGUGUAAUGUAGCGGUGAAAUGCUUAGAUAUUACACAGAACACCGAUUGCGAAGGCAGCUUACUAAACUACGAUUGACGCUGAGGUACGAAAGCGUGGGGAGCGAACAGGAUUAGAUACCCUGGUAGUCCACGCUGUAAACGAUGAUCACUCGUUGUUGGCGAUAUACUGUCAGCGACUGAGCGAAAGCAUUAAGUGAUCCACCUGGGGGGUACGACCGCAAGGUUGAAACUCAAAGGAAUUGACGGGGGCCCGCACAAGCGGAGGAACAUGUGGUUCAAUUCGAUGAUACGCGAGGAACCUUACCUGGGCUUAAAUGCAGAACGACGGACCGGGAAACUGGUCUUUCUUCGGACGGACUGCAAGGUGCUGCAUGGCUGUCGUCAGCUCGUGCCGUGAGGUGUCGGGUUAAGUCCCAUAACGAGCGCAACCCUCAUCAUUAGUUGCCAGCGGGUAAUGCCGGGGACUCUAAUGAAACUGCCGGUGUAAACCGAGAGGAAGGUGGGGAUGACGUCAAGUCAGCACGGCCCUUAUGUCCAGGGCUACACACGUGUUACAAUGGUCGGUACAAAGGGCAGCUACCUGGCAACAGGAUGCUAAUCUCGAAAACCGAUCUUAGUUCGGAUCGAAGUCUGCAACUCGACUUCGUGAAGCUGGAUUCGCUAGUAAUCGCGCAUCAGCCACGGCGCGGUGAUACGUUCCCGGGCCUUGUACACACCGCCCGUCAAGCCAUGGAAGCUGGGGGUACCUGAAGUCCGUAACCGCAAGGAGCGGCCU
rnacentral:rRNA from 1 species